CCGGCCCCGGCCCCGGCGCGGCCCCGACCGCGUCCCGCGGACACUCACCGGCCCUGCGUGUCCCGGGCGGCGGAAGACGCUGAGAGGCCUCAUCUAAAGAGAAAUUUUGGACACGAAUGAGGGGCGGGGGCUGAAACCCCUGGAUGUGCCACCCAACCAUUACCCACCUGCGAGGAGGCUCAGGGGCUUCGUGAAGAACGACACCAGGAACAUCCCUGGAGUGUCACAACCCCUCAGGAUGCUUGGCACCACCAGGUUUGCCUUCGUCCCAGGCAUGGGCUGACCGUGGCACCAAGGUAUGGUUUGACAUGGUGCCAGGCUUGUCACACGGCAGGAUAUUGUCUGUAUAAAGAUAGAACAUUUAUUAAAACAGUCAUUAAUGGA